GCUUGUACCCUAGAGCACCAGGUGUCACAGAGGGGGCGUGAUUUGUACCCUAGAGCACCAGGUGUCACAGAGGGGGCGUGAUUUGUACCCUAGAGCACCAGGUGUCACAGAGGGGCGUGGGGGCGGCUCCCAGCCCUCCUUCCUCAUGACUGGUCUUAUGGUGUCACCCCUUCACGAAGCAGAGGAAGGAGGAUCGUAGGCCUAGUGGCAUAUUUGCAAUUACUUAACGAGUCCAUCAAGUUCUGCUGCCUCUGCCUUCUCUUUCCGGUGAUAAAGUGCCUCUUCCCUGAGGGCUUCAGGAUUUAAUUCAUAGUUACUUCUAAUUCUGUUUAGCUGCCUGGGGCAAACUAUUGUUACCAACUUCCCUAAAAGGGAGGUAGAGGAUGAGACAGCACUAUCGAUACAUCUUGUUCUCUCCUGACUUGUAUCUUCUGCUUUUUGCGGGGGUGGAGGGCACACCUGCAGCAUAUGGAGGUUCCCAGGCUAGGAGUCUAAUCAGAGCUGCAGCCGCUGCAGCCACAGCCACUCCAGAUCCGAGCUGCAUCUGCCACCUACACCACAGCUUACAGCAACGCUGGACCCUUAACCCACUGAGUGAGGCCAGGAUCGAACCCACAACCUCAUGGUUCCUAGUUGGAUCGUUUCCGCUGCACUACGAUGGAACUCCAUUCUUUGGGAGAAUCUUAACCACUCCAAUUACUUCAGUUAUUUAUAGUUUGCUGACUCAAAUCUUCCUCUCCAACCUAAUUUCUCUGCCAUGCUGCAGACACACGUGGAUUUGACUGCAUCCUAGAAGUCUUUUCCUCGCUGUGUGACAAACUUGAGCUUGUCAUCUUCUGUCACGGACCCCGCUACGCGUCCACUCCCUAGCCCAGUAAACCCAGCUCAGUAAACCCA